rnacentral:rRNA from 1 species
UGGGGAAUAUUGGACAAUGGGCGAAAGCCUGAUCCAGCCAUGCCGCGUGUGUGAAGAAGGUCUUCGGAUUGUAAAGCACUUUAAGUUGGGAGGAAGGGCAGUAAAUUAAUACUUUGCUGUUUUGACGUUACCGACAGAAUAAGCACCGGCUAACUCUGUGCCAGCAGCCGCGGUAAUACAGAGGGUGCAAGCGUUAAUCGGAAUUACUGGGCGUAAAGCGCGCGUAGGUGGUUCGUUAAGUUGGAUGUGAGAUCCCCGGGCUCAACCUGGGAACUGCAUUCAAAACUGACGAGCUAGAGUAUGGUAGAGGGUGGUGGAAUU